CUCCCCCCCAGGAAGGUUUUCUUUCUGGAUAUUUCUCCUUAAUGAAGCUUUCCUUUGCAAGCUAAGAAUCUUCUGAUAUGGAAAGAAUAAUAUGACUUUAAAUUCUCCGGACUUCCCACUUUGCAAGGAUCUCAAAAUACUUGAUAGCCAGUGGAGGAGAAGGAUGUGACACUACAAAGCAAUGCACAAAAACAAGAAAGUCAAAGUCUGCAUCACAUACUCACCAAAAAAUAAGGAUAAGCUGUUCUCAUCUUCCUCCACCAAAACAGGGAUGCCAUCCUUUCUUGGUGGUGUAAAAAGUCGAUCUCUCUCCUGUUCACAAGCUUCCUUUAAAUCCUGGAGCCUCAGCGAAGCCACCGGAACGCACCG